rnacentral:rRNA from 1 species
AUUGAACGCUGGCGGCAGGCCUAACACAUGCAAGUCGAACGAGUGGCGGACGGGUGAGUAAUGUCUGGGCAACUGCCUGACGGAGGGGGCUAACUACUGGAAACGGUAGCUAAUACCGCAUACCAUCGGAUGUGCCCAGAUGGGAUUAGCUAGGAGGGGGGGUAACGGCUCACCUAGGCGACGAUCCCUAGCUGGUCUGCGAGGAUGACCAGCAACACUGGAACUGAGACACGGUCCAGACUCCUACGGGAGGCAGCAGGGGGGAAUAUUGCACAAUGGGCGCAAGCCUGAUGCAGCCAGGCCGCGUGUAUGAAGAAGGCCUUCGGGUUGUAAAGUACUUUCAGCGGGGAUGCGUUACCCGCAGAAGAAGCACCGGCUAACUCCGUGCCAGCAGCCGCGGUAAUAC